UUCCCGUCGUCCUCCGCGGCCCGGGCGCGCAGCUGCGAUAGUUUCCGGACGCCGCGAGGCGGGGUGCUGCUGAGGGUGGCUCUCGAGGCUCGCGUGGUCGCUUGCGUGCGUGGCACGUCGCAAAGGUUCUUAAGUGUUGAGGAAGAGUCAGGAAAUGGAAAAACUGAUCUUAAAAUUCAUGUUUAAUUGCAAGGAACCCUAAAUAGUCAAAACAAUCUUGAAAAAGAACGAAGUUGGAAGAUGCACACUUGUGAUUUCAGAACUUACUACAAAGCUACGAUAAUCAAGAUGGCACUACUGGCAUAAGACUACACUUUUAGUGCGGUGGAAUAGAGUUGAGAGUCCAGAGCACGAGCUGGGGAGAGAGUCAGAGGGAGAGAGAAAAUCUUAAGUGCAGAGCCUGAAGC